AUUGAACGCUGGCGGCAUGCCUUACACAUGCAAGUCGAACGGUAACGGGCCUUCGGGUGCCGACGAGUGGCGAACGGGUGAGUAAUACAUCGGAACGUGCCCGAUCGUGGGGGAUAACGAGGCGAAAGCUUUGCUAAUACCGCAUACGAUCUACGGAUGAAAGCAGGGGACCGCAAGGCCUUGCGCGGACGGAGCGGCCGAUGGCAGAUUAGGUAGUUGGUGGGAUAAAAGCUUACCAAGCCGACGAUCUGUAGCUGGUCUGAGAGGAUGAUCAGCCACACUGGGACUGAGACACGGCCCAGACUCCUACGGGAGGCAGCAGUGGGGAAUUUUGGACAAUGGGCGCGAGCCUGAUCCAGCCAUGCCGCGUGCAGGAUGAAGGCCUUCGGGUUGUAAACUGCUUUUGUACGGAACGAAAAGCCUUCUUUUAAUACAGGAGGGUCAUGACGGUACCGUAAGAAUAAGCACCGGCUAACUACGUG
rnacentral:rRNA from 1 species